ACGGGGUGCAGCAGGCGCGAAAACUGACCAAUGCGCGAAAGCGUGAGUCGGUCAAUCCCGAGUGUAGACCCAUCGGUUUACUUUUAUCAUGUGUACAAAGCUUGGUGAAUAAUGUGAGGGCAAGACUGGUGCCAGCCGCCGCGGUAAAACCAGCUCAUAGAGUGGUGAUCAUGAUUAUUUGGCUUAAAGUGUGCGUAGCAGGGAAUUCUAAGUCCUCUGUGAAAUGUCAGGUCUUAAGCUUGACACGUGCAGAGGAUACUGGAAUCCUUGGGACCGGGAUAGGUGUAAUGUACGGUUUGGGUAGGGGUGAAAUCCGAUAAUCCAAGCCGGACAACCGGUGGCGAAGGCGUUACACUGGAACGGGUCCGACUGUGAGGCACGAAAGCUAGGGUCGCGAGCCGGAUUAGAUACCCGGGUAGUCCUAUGCUGUAAACGAUGCUCAUUAAGUGUUAGGUAAUGCAAGACAUUCUCUAGUGCCGAAGCGAAAGCGUUAAAUGAGCCGCCUGGAAGUACGUUCGCAAGAA
rnacentral:rRNA from 1 species